GGAUUUGAGGGCGAUCUGGCUGCAACAUAUGUUACCCCAUUGAUCGCCAGGGUUGAUUCAGCUGAUCUGGCUAGCUAGGUGGGUGUCCCCUUCCUCCCUCACUGCUCCAUGAACAUCCCUCCUGAAGCUACGUGCUCAGUCAAAGAGGACGGCCUUCCCUGAAUAGAGAUGGACCGGUCUUAAGUUAAGGGUAUACUAGUAGCUGUGCUCCCCUGCUAGAACCUCCAAAGGAGCUCUCAGAAAAUACAGCCCAACCAUAUGUUCUCUGCAGGAAUCCCACCUAAUUCAACAAAACAAACACAGACUCAAAGUGA
ensembl:misc_RNA 7SK 7SK RNA